UACAGAGGGUGCAAGCGUUAAUCGGAAUUAUUGGGCGUAAAGGGCUUGUAGGUUGUUAUUUAAGUUAGAUGUGAAAACCCUGGGCUUAACCUGGGACGUGCAUUUGAUACUGGAUGACUAGAGUAUGGUAGAGGAGAGGGGAAUUCCUGGUGUAGCAGUGAAAUGCGUAGAGAUCAGGAGGAACAUCAGUGGCGAAGGCGCCUCUCUGGACUAAUACUGACACUGAGGAGCGAAGGCGUGGGGAUCAAACAGG
rnacentral:rRNA from 1 species